rnacentral:rRNA from 1 species
GACGAACGCUGGCGGCGUGCCUAAUACAUGCAAGUAGAACGCUGAAGAGAGGAGCUUGCUCUUCUUGGAUGAGUUGCGAACGGGUGAGUAACGCGUAGGUAACCUGCCUUGUAGCGGGGGAUAACUAUUGGAAACGAUAGCUAAUACCGCAUAACAAUGGAUGACUCAUGUCAUUUAUUUGAAAGGGGCAAAUGCUCCACUACAAGAUGUACCUGCGUUGUAUUAGCUAGUAGGUGAGGUAACGGCUCACCUAGGCGACGAUACAUAGCCGACCUGAGAGGGUGAUCGGCCACACUGGGACUGAGUCACGGCCCAGACUCCUACGGGAGGCAGCAGUAGGGAAUCUUCGGCAAUGGGGGCAACCCUGACCGAGCAACGCCGCGUGAGUGAAGAAGGUUUUCGGAUCGUAAAGCUCUGUUGUAAGUCAAGAACGAGUGUGAGAGUGGAAAGUUCACACUGUGACGGUAGCUUACCAGAAAGGGACGGCUAACUACGUGCCAGCCGCCGCAGUAA